rnacentral:tRNA from 1 species
UCUCAUUAGCAUAGUGGUUAGUGCACAACCCCGGAUAGGUUGAGACGUGGGUUCAAAUCCCGCCAAGAGAU